rnacentral:rRNA from 1 species
CCUACGGGCGGCAGCAGUGAGGAAUAUUGGUCAAUGGACGCAAGUCUGAACCAGCCAUGCCGCGGGCAGGAAGACGGCUCUAUGAGUUGUAAACCGCUUUUGUACGAGGGUAAACGCAGAUACGCGUAUCUUUCUGAAAGUAUCGUACGAAUAAGGAUCGGCUAACUCCGUGCCAGCAGCCGCGGUAAUACGGAGGAUUCAAGCGUUAUCCGGAUUUAUUGGGUUUAAAGGGUGCGUAGGCGGUCGGAUAAGUUAGAGGUGAAAUCCCGAGGCUCAACUUCGGAAUUGCCUCUGAUACUGUUCGGCUAGAGAGUAGUUGCGGUAGGCGGAAUGUAUGGUGUAGCAGUGAAAUGCUUAGAGAUCAUACAGAACACCGAUUGCGAAGGCAGCUUACCAAGCUACUUCUGACGUUGAGGCACGAAAGCGUGGGGAGCAAACAGGAUUAGAUACCCUUGUAGUC